rnacentral:rRNA from 1 species
UGGGGAAUAUUGCACAAUGGAGGGAACUCUGAUGCAGCGACGCCGCGUGAUUGAUGAAGGAAUUCGUUUCGUAAAACUCUGUUCUAUGGGAAGAAAAGGACUGUACCAUAGGAGAAAGCUCCGGCUAAAUACGUGCCAGCAGCCGCGGUAAUACGUAUGGAGCGAGCGUUGUCCGGAAUUAUUGGGCGUAAAGGGUGCGCAGGCGGCUUUACAAGUUGGAUGUGAAAUAUUGUGGCUCAACCACAAACGUGCAUCCAAAACUGCAAAGCUUGAGUUAAGGAGAGGUAAGUGGAAUUCCUGGUGUAGCGGUGGAAUGCGUAGAUAUCAGGAGGAAUACCGGUGGCGAAGGCGACUUACUGGACUUAAACUGACGCUCAGGCACGAAAGCGUGGGGAGCAAACAGG